rnacentral:lncRNA from 1 species
AUACUGGGUCACAUCUUUGUGAAUCUGCAGGUGAAUGCCUUUCCCAAGUGAAGAUUUUUCUGUUUCCAGAACUUCACUUCAGAGAGCUUUCCAUGCUUGAGUCAUGCACUAGCUUGUGACAAGUUAUUUUUUAACAACUUUUCUUCCCGGCAGUCACCACCUGUGAUGAAAACACAGAGGAGGAAGUUACAUCCCAGCGGCUAAGAAUAAUAGCAAGCAGUCUUUUGAACUAUUUAGCUGGAGGAAAUGAUGAAAAGUUAUUGAGUCAUCAGAUGUAUUUCCCUCUGUUUUCUCAGGAGAUGUUUUCUACUUCCUGUGAGACAGACCCAGGAAAAUUUGCUGAAGAGCAGGCAAUUGGUGUGAGAUCUUCUGCAAACAUUCUUUCACUGAAGGAAGAAGAGAGCAAACAGCAUGAAGGAAGAGGGACCAAACAGCAGAGAUGGCACAUAGCUUGGGAGUUAGAAGAGGCUGCUGGAUAGGUUAAAACAGUAGAGUUCACUUGGGAAUCUGACUGUAUUGUGGGAGGAUCUUUCUCCAUCCUUCUGUCUGGAAGAGCAGCUCCCACCCAGAGAGCACUGGGAGAGUGCGCUCCACACCUCCAGGCCAUUGGUCAGCUCACGGAGACGGCAUCACCACCACGAAGGCAGCCUCCUCCUCUGUGUGACUUCAGAGGUAAGACAGGCUUCACAAGGCUUCUUGGGCAAUAGCCACAGUGAUGAGGGGAUCCCAGCAGGAGAGCACAAAGAGAUGACUUGAGAAUUCCUACAAGACUCCACUGAGAUAACUAUGGAUGGUUCCUUGGUGGCGGGAGGGAUGGAUUGGGG